CCUACGGGUGGCAGCAGUGAGGAAUAUUGGUCAAUGGGCGAGAGCCUGAACCAGCCAAGUAGCGUGAAGGACGACGGCCCUACGGGUUGUAAACUUCUUUUAUAAGGGAAUAAAGUUCGCCACGUGUGGUGUUUUGUAUGUACCUUAUGAAUAAGCAUCGGCUAAUUCCGUGCCAGCAGCCGCGGUAAUACGGAAGAUGCGAGCGUUAUCCGGAUUUAUUGGGUUUAAAGGGAGCGUAGGCGGGCUUUUAAGUCAGCGGUCAAAUGCCACGGCUCAACCGUGGCCAGCCGUUGAAACUGCAAGCCUUGAGUCUGCACAGGGCACAUGGAAUUCGUGGUGUAGCGGUGAAAUGCUUAGAUAUCACGAAGAACUCCGAUCGCGAAGGCAUUGUGCCGGGGCAUAACUGACGCUGAGGCUCGAAAGUGCGGGUAUCAAACAGGAUUAGAUACCCGAGUAGUC
rnacentral:rRNA from 1 species